ACAUAUUUUAAUUUUUAAUCAUUUUAUUAAAUUAAAUAAAAUUACAUUUAAAUCCACCUUCAAUUAAAUAUUACAAAAUAAAAUUCAUUUAAAUAAAUUUAUUGUAAUCCAUUAUAUUCUUAAUUAUAAUCUGCAUCUUGAUCUGAUUUAAUUUUUCAUAUUAAUUUUUAAACAUUAAUUUUAUUAAAAAAUAUUUUUAUAACAACGAUAUACAAAAUUAUAAAAUAAGUAAAU
rnacentral:rRNA from 1 species